CUACGGGGUGCUCCAGGUAGGAAUCUUCUUCAAUGCGCGAAAGCGUGAAAGAGUGAGCCAGAGUGCGUUUCAAUGAAACGCUUUUGCUAAAUGUAAAAAGUUUGGCGAAUAAGGACUGGGUAAGACGGGUGCCAGCCGCCGCGGUAAUACCCGCGGUCCAAGUCGCAGCCAUUUUUAUUGGGUCUAAAACAUCCGUAGCUUGCUUGGUAAGUUUCUUGUGAAAUCCUGUUCCUUAAGUUCAGGGCGCGCAGGAAGUACUGCUAAGCUAGAGACCGGAAGACGUAAGAAGUACGUUCGAAGUAGCAGUAAAAUGCUCUAAUCUCGGACGGACUCACAAUAGCGAAGGCAUCUUACGAGGACGGUUCUGACAGUAAGGGAUGAAGGCUAGGGUCGCGAAAGGGAUUAGAUACCCGCGUAGUC
rnacentral:rRNA from 1 species